AUCAACAGCCCAAAAUGAGACCAGUAUCACUCUGCAGUGGAAUAAAGUGAACAACAUCAUCAGCUAUAUUCUCCAGUUUAAUGGUGCAGAGAUCAACAUCACUGCACCAGAUGGAGAUGGACCAGUAACUCACACAGUCUCAUCUCUCACUGCUGCAACUGAAUACACAUUCACUCUCUUCUCUGUGUUUGAGAACGUCAGAAGCAGUGGAGUGAACAUUACUGCAGUUACCGAGGGGCCUUCAGAUUAUGUUCUUGCCCUGAACGUGGAAUUAGAGUCAUUGACUCAGCUGUCAGACUCAGACUUGCAGAGUGUGUUGGAGGAGCUCUUCAACCAAUACGGACUGUCCCCACAGUUGUCCUUCAAAGUGUUGAGACGAAAAAUCAGAAGAGACUAGAUGAAAUCAAGGACAAUGGAUCUGCAAUUGAAAAACUUUUUUUUAAUUUAUUUAGUUAUUUAGACUUUUCACAUUUCCAUGAUAAUUAUCAUCAUUCUCCCAUUUAUA